rnacentral:rRNA from 1 species
CUACGUGCCAGCAGCCGCGGUAAUACGGAGGAUGCGAGCGUUAUCCGGAUUUAUUGGGUUUAAAGGGUGCGUAGGUUGUUCGGUAAGUCAGCGGUGAAACCUGAGCGCUCAACGUUCAGCCUGCCGUUGAAACUGCCGGGCUUGAGUUCAGUGGCGGCAGGCGGAAUUCGUGGUGUAGCGGUGAAAUGCAUAGAUAUCACGAGGAACUCCGAUUGCGAAGGCAGCUUGCCAUACUGCGACUGACACUGAAGCACGAAGGCGUGGGUAUCAAACAGGAUUAGAUACCCUGGUAGUCCACGCAGUAAACGAUGAUUACUAGGAGUUUGCGAUAUACCGUCAAGCUUCCACAGCGAAAGCGUUAAGUAAUCCACCUGGGGAGUACGCCGGCAACGGUGAAACUCAAAGGAAUUGACGGGGGCCCGCACAAGCGGAGGAACAUGUGGUUUAAUUCGAUGAUACGCGAGGAACCUUACCCGGGCUUGAACUAACGGUGACGAAUCUAGAGAUAG